CUUCUUAAAAGUCUCCCAAACCCUUUGAAAAAGGGCAAAAAUAAAAAUAAAUAAAAAUCUACAAAUAGAAAUAGCCCAACCCUCAAUGCAUGGAUUUUGUAGUGCAACGGGUACAACCACAGGAACCAAACUCCCUCAAUGUAUGCGAAGAAGAAGUCCUGAAAAGAAUCCCAUCGAGUGGUCGAAAAAUGUGGGAAAUUUCUCCCUUUCAAGGAAGAAGAAGAAUCCUACAUUGAAAGGGAAACUCUCGGGUCUGUCAGAAUCCUCAACUGUUCUUGAGUCUCACCAUAAUAACCUCCAGAUGGAGUCUGAGGUUAAUGGAUCUGAAUUGUCAGAUGUAGAGAGAUAUGUAGAGGAGUUGGAUGUUGCUGUCAGAGUCGUUCAGAUGGCAUGCUCAAUUUGUCAGAGGGUUCAAGAGAGGCUGGUUGAGGAGAGCAGCAAUGAUCAGGUCAAAUCGAAGGACGAUAAUUCUCCUGUCACUGUUGCUGAUUGGAGUGUCCAAGCAACUGUGAGCUGGGUGCUGUCAGAACGCUUUGGAAGUAGAAACAUAUCAAUUGUUGCCGAAGAAGAUGUCGAGGCGCUCUCCAAGACUGACGCAGUGGGCUUAUUGGAAUCUGUGGUUAAUACUGUGAAUGAGUGUCUAGCAGAGGCACCCAAGUAUGGAUUGACGAGUCCGAAGAAAGCACUAGGAACUCCAGAGAUUCUAGAAGCCAUUGGCAGGUGCAACUCAAAUGGUGGUCCAAAAGGAAGAUACUGGGUACUUGACCCUGUCGAUGGCACUUUAGGAUUUGUACGUGGGGAUCAGUAUGCAAUAGCUCUUGCCAUGAUAGAUGAAGGAGAAGUUGUCCUUGGAGUCCUCGGGUGCCCGAACUAUCCGAUGAAGAAGGAGUGGCUCAACUACCACCAUCGGUAUUAUCGGUUCAUGUCUAAGUUGUCACCUCCAACAUCUGAUUCUUGGCAGAAAGGAUGUGUAAUGUAUGCACGGAAAGGCACUGGCGAAGCUUGGAUGCAACCCUUGGUCCAUGACGGCAUGCAACUUAUUUGGCCAAAUUCGGCAAGGGCAAUUCGGGUAUCAUCAAUCGAUGAUCCGGCAUUGGCAACAUUUUGUGAACCAGUCGAAAAAGCCAAUUCAAGCCACUCCUUCACAGCAGGAUUGGCUCAUAGUGUGGGACUAAGAAACCAACCGCUGCGAGUUUACAGCAUGGUGAAAUAUGCUGCAAUUGCUCGUGGGGAUGCAGAGAUAUUUAUGAAGUUUGCUAGGGCUGGAUACAAAGAGAAGAUAUGGGAUCACGCUGCUGGUGUUCUCAUCAUACAAGAGGCUGGCGGUGUGGUCACAGAUGCCGGUGGGCGCCCAUUGGACUUCUCUAAAGGUAUAUACCUUGAAGGACUUGAUCGAGGUAUAAUUGCUUGCUCUGGAGCUGUAUUACAUGAGAAGAUCAUCAAGGCGGUUUAUGAUAGCUGGGAUUCCUCCAAUCUAUGAGUCUUGCUGUAUAAAUUCCAAAGCAUCAAUGGAGUGCAUGAUUUUGGGGUGUAAAGAUCUCACAUAACAAAAUAUUUCAUGGACGAAAGGAUACCUGAUAGAGAUGAGUGACAUCAGUAAGUUGCUCUGCUCUUCAAAUUACUUUGAGAGUUGCCAUGGAGAUGGACCACCUGUUUGAAGAUUGCCACUGCUGUUUUUACUUGCCAUGGCUCGGGCUCAUAUCUAUUAGAACAGAAAUUUCUAAUCUUUAAUUAUUUUUUUUCCCCUUAAUUGAGCUCCUCUAGUCCAUGAGCAUACCAUUUCCUUGUAAGUUUAUUUCUAUCUUUUACAGUUUAUUGUUCAUGGAUGUAUGGUGCCAUUUUUCAGCAUAUUGUCUUAUCUGAUCAAUAGCCUCGAAUAACAUAGUACCAUGUUACACAUAAAAACAUGCAUAUAUGCAAAAUACCAGCAUUAUGUGCUCAGGCAUGGUCAGAUAUGCAGAAUCAGACUAGAUUGAUGGACAUCAACACAGACAAGCAUAGAUUAACACUAGCAUGGACCUAGACACCAGGGGAGUCAGAUAAGUAUAUGUGCAGCACACAUUACAUAGUUAUGUGGAUAUUGUAUUUGGCUUCUUGUUCUUAACGUUUUUAAACUUGGCCGUUCUUGACUACAAUUGAACUUGAUAAUUUCCUUCAACGGGAAUUAUUUUCA